GGGCACGCCUGCCUGGGCGUCACGCCAAAACACGCUCCCAACCACCCUCAACGGGAUUCGGGAUGCGGCAUCUGGUCCCUCGUCUCUCAAGGGACGGUGGACCGAAGAUUGGGCUGCCGGCGUACCGCGCCGGACACAGCGCAUGGUGGGCGUCCUCGCUUUAUCAAUGCAGUGCAUCCGGCGCGCAGCUGGCAUUAUGGCCUUUGAACGACCCAACAAACGAAGCGCACGUCGCUUCGACCGCGACCCCAGGUCAGGCGGGACUACCCGCUGAGCUUAAGCAUAUAAAUAAGCGGAGGAGAAGAAACUUACAAGGAUUCCCCUAGUAACGGCGAGCGAACCGGGAGCAGCCCAGCUUGAGAAUCGGGCGGCUGUGCCGUCCGAAUUGUAGUCUGGAGAGGCGUCCUCAGCGACGGACCGGGCCCAAGUCCCCUGGAAAGGGGCUCCUGGGAGGGUGAGAGCCCCGUCCGGCCCGGAACCUGUCGCCCCACGAGGCGCCGUCAACGAGUCGGGUUGUUUGGGAAUGCAGCCCAAAUCGGGCGGUAGACUCCGUCCAAGGCUAAAUACAGGAGAGAGACCGAUAGCGAACAAGUACCCCGAGGGAAAGAUGAAAAGGACUUUGAAAAGAGAGUCAAAGAGUGCUUGAAAUUGCCGGGAGGGAAGCGGAUGGGGGCCGGCGAUGCGCCCCGGCCGUAUGCGGAACGGCUCUUGCUGGUCCGCCGCUCGGCUCGGGGUGUGGACUGUUGUCGGCCGCGCCGGCGGCCAAAGCCCGGGGGCCCUAGGUGCCCCCGGUGGCCGUCGUCGGCACGGCCGGUACCCGCGCGCCUAAAGGCGUGUCCCUCGGGGCACUGCGCUGCAACGGCCUGCGGGCUCCCCAUCCGACCCGUCUUGAAACACGGACCAAGGAGUCUGACAUGCGUGCGAGUCGACGGGUUCUGAAACCUGGGAUGCGCAAGGAAGCUGACGAGCGGGAGGCCCUCACGGGCCGCACCGCUGGCCGACCCUGA
rnacentral:misc_RNA from 1 species